GUGAGACAGUUCGGUCCAUAUCCGGUGUAUACAUAAGAACAUUGAAGAGUUUUUCUUUUAGUACGAGAGGACCAAAGAGAUUAAACCUAUGGGUAUUAGUUAUUUUACUAAAAAUAAUCGCUAAGUAGCCAAGUUUAAAUAAAUAUUAAUCACUGACAACAUAUAAGUGAGAAAAAUACUUUAAGAUAAAUGUUCUUAUCUAACUAAAUAAAUAGAAUAAGAAAACAAAAAGAUAAUUUGAUAAAAAGAAAAAGUGUAUACAAUUAGUAAUAAUUUUAGCAUUUUUUGACUAAAAGUUCGAAAAAAAUAUA
rnacentral:rRNA from 1 species